GGAUAUCUCGGCUCUCGCAUCGAU
rnacentral:ncRNA from 2 species